rnacentral:rRNA from 1 species
GACGAACGCUGGCGGCGUGCUUAACACAUGCAAGUCGAACGGAAAGGCCCUGCUUUUGUGGGGUGCUCGAGUGGCGAACGGGUGAGUAACACGUGAGUAACCUGCCCUUGACUUUGGGAUAACUUCAGGAAACUGGGGCUAAUACCGGAUAGGAGCUCCUGCUGCAUGGUGGGGGUUGGAAAGUUUCGGCGGUUGGGGAUGGACUCGCGGCUUAUCAGCUUGUUGGUGGGGUAGCGGCUUACCAAGGCUUUGACGGGUAGCCGGCCUGAGAGGGUGACGGGGCACAUUGGGACUGAGAGACGGCCCAGACUCCUACGGUAGGCAGCAGUGGGGAAUAUUGCACAAUGGGCGGAAGCCUGAUGCAGCAACGCCGCGUGCGGGAUGACGGCCUUCGGGUUGUAAACCGCUUUCGCCUGUGACGAAGCGUGAGUGACGGUAAUGGGUAAAGAAGCACCGGCUAACUACGUG